rnacentral:rRNA from 1 species
UACGGAGGGUGCAAGCGUUGUCCGGAUUUAUUGGGUUUAAAGGGUGCGUAGGUGGCGUCUUAAGUCUGGUUUGAAAGCUGGUCGCUCAACGAUCAGAUGUGGCUGGAAACUGGGGCGCUUGAAUGGGUUGGCGGUAGCCGGAACGGGUCAUGUAGCGGUGAAAUGCAUAGAUAUGACCCAGAACACCGAUUGCGAAGGCAGGCUACUACGACUUGAUUGACACUGAGGCACGAGAGCAUGGGUAGCGAACAGG